GCCUAGUUCGAUUUCACGAGCCGACGUUCAAGCCCCCCAAGCGCAAUAGCAGGAUGGGGCUUGUGGAGGUGAGAUUCGAGCACCAGCGGAUGCUCUAUAGCGGACAAAAUUAGCGACAGAUUUGUGCGAAUCCCAUCACUCUCUGUCUCUGUGGGCAUAUUAAUUAUAUAUAUCCACUGAUCAUUAAUCCUCAAAACAACAAUGAAUCUUAUCCGCAUAUUGAUACGCCACCAGAAUACUCAAUAAACCACUGUCUCCCGCCAACCAAAUCUCUCUGCCUCUACCUAUUUAUAUGUUAUACAUGUAAUCUACAUCUAUGCUUCAUCCAUAACUCAAUACAACCACAAAAUCAAUUUUUCACAAGGCUGCAGCAGAAAGACGACGAUGGAUGAGUUGAGCAGAAUCUGCGGCGCGGCGGUGGUGGAAGGCAACAACAGUGGACAACACCUGAAGAAUGGCUCGAGAUCUCCUCCAAACGAUAUUAAUGGAGGAUCUUAUAUGGGCGGCGCCGCUGAUGAAAAGAACAAGACAAACCAGGCUGAUGAAUCCCUACACAAAGUUAUGUACCUCAAUUGCUGGAUACAUAAUUAACACAAUACAAAACCACAGAGAUACAAAUAUGAUAUUUUAUUUGUCGCUACUUGCAUAUGAUGAUUCUGACUCAUAUACGCGCGUGACCUUCGAUUUACUCGUCCAACUCCAUCCACUUAUUUCUUGUUACCUAUGUAUUUCUUCAACAAUUUAUGCAGACAUGAAAACGAAAGCCAAAACAAUGAAUUGCCCAACUCGCUAUACAAGAAUAUUCGGUCGAAUUAGAAUACUAGUAUAAUUUAAAAUAAACAAACAAGGCCUGUAAUGGUUAUUUCUUGUGUGCUAGAAUUUAUUUUUGCUAUAAAAAAAUGAUUGUAUAUAUUUCAUAAUUGUCUCUUAUGUAUUGCGUUGUUGCAAGACGGCUCUAUGAAUAAGUAGUUAGGGGGGAGGGGGGGAUUAAUUCUUCUAUAAAUAGGUAAAAUGUACUCUUAAAUUUAUAUAGACUCACAAAAAUUAAGCAUUAGAAGAACGAAGAUGGCAAAGGAAAGCAACAAAGUUUCAAGUUUCUUCAACCUUGCUUUCAUGCUCUCACUUAUACUCAUCAUCACUGUGUCAGAAAGCACAUCAUUUUUUGGAGUUAAUAGCGCAAUAUUAAGUUGCGAUAGUGUGGUCGAAGUGGUAAGUGGAGAUACAUGUUUUGAUAUUGCAAAGGGACAGAAUUUGAGCAGCACCGCCUUUGACGCCAUUAACCCUAAUCUCAACUGCUCUGCGCUCUUCAUUGGACAGUGGAUCUGCGUCGCUGGCUCCACCAUUUAGAUUAACUCUCUCAUCUCACUACUUUGCUUCUUCACCUACAUAUCAUCUAUAUAUGUAUAUGACAUAUAAUAUACAUAUUAUCUAUCAAUAUUUAAUAAGAGUCUAAUUGUUGAUGGACUAAAAUUAAUUAAGCACGUGCUUAAUUUCUUUUUGUUCAUUUUCUUGAA